rnacentral:misc_RNA from 1 species
UGAGGUGAUCUGGCUGAUGCU